UACAGAGGUCCCAAGCGUUGUUCGGAUUCACUGGGCGUAAAGGGUGCGCAGGUGGGUUUGCAAAUUCGAUGUGAAAGCCCCGGGCUUAACCCGGGAAUGGCAUUGGAUACUGCAGAUCUGGAGGAUCGGAGGGGGGACUGGAAUUCACGGUGUAGCAGUGAAAUGCGUAGAUAUCGUGAGGAAGACCAGUGGCGAAGGCGGGUCUCUGGACAGUUCCUGACACUGAGGCACGAAGGCCAGGGGAGCAAACGGG
rnacentral:rRNA from 1 species